rnacentral:rRNA from 1 species
GUGGGGAAUAUUGGACAAUGGGCGCAAGCCUGAUCCAGCCAUGCCGCGUGAGUGAUGAAGGCCUUAGGGUUGUAAAGCUCUUUUGUCCGGGAAGAUAAUGACUGUACCGGAAGAAUAAGCCCCGGCUAACUUCGUGCCAGCAGCCGCGGUAAUACGAAGGGGGCUAGCGUUGCUCGGAAUCACUGGGUGUAAAGGGCGCGUAGGCGGACUCUUAAGUCGGGGGUGAAAGCCCAGGGCUCAACCCUGGAAUUGCCUUCGAUACGGGGAGUCUUGAGUUCGGAAGAGGUUGGUGGAACUGCGAGUGUAGAGGUGAAAUUCGUAGAUAUUCGCAAGAACACCAGUGGCGAAGGCGGCCAACUGGUCCGAUACUGACGCUGAGGCGCGAAAGCGUGGGGAGCAAACAGGAUUAGAAACCCCAGUAGUCC